rnacentral:rRNA from 1 species
UACAGAGGGUGCGAGCGUUAAUCGGAAUUACUGGGCGUAAAGCGUGCGUAGGUGGUUCUUUAAGUCAGGUGUGAAAUCCCCGGGCUCAACCUGGGAACUGCAUUUGAUACUGAAGAGCUAGAGUGUGGUAGAGGAUAGUGGAAUUCCCGGUGUAGCGGUGAAAUGCGUAGAUAUCGGGAGGAACAUCAGUGGCGAAGGCGGCUAUCUGGACCAACACUGACACUGAGGCACGAAAGCGUGGGUAGCAAACAGG